rnacentral:rRNA from 1 species
UACGUAGGUGACAAGCGUUGUCCGGAUUUACUGGGCGUAAAGAGCGCGCAGGCGGUCGUUCAAGUCGAGUGUGAAAGCCCCCGGCUCAACUGGGGAGGGUCAUUCGAUACUGAUCGACUCGAAGGCAGGAGAGGGAAGUGGAAUUCCCGGUGUAGUGGUGAAAUGCGUAGAUAUCGGGAGGAACACCAGUGGCGAAGGCGACUUCCUGGCCUGUUCUUGACGCUGAGGCGCGAAAGCUAGGGGAGCAACGGG